AACGCGAAGAACCUUACCUGGGUUAAAUCCACCGGAAUCCUGCAGAGAUGCGGGAGUGCUCUUCGGAGAGCCGGUGAGAAGGUGCUGCAUGGCUGUCGUCAGCUCGUGUCGUGAGAUGUUGGGUUAAGUCCCGCAACGAGCGCAACCCUUGUCGUCUGUUGCCAUCAGUUCGGCUGGGCACUUAGACGAGACUGCCGACGUUAAGUCGGAGGAAGGUGGGGAUGACGUCAAGUCCUCAUGGCCCUUAUGCCCAGGGCUACACACGUGCUACAAUGGCCGGUACAAAGGGUUGCGACACCGCGAGGUGAAGCCAAUCCCAAAAAACCGGUCUCAGUUCGGAUUGGAGUCUGCAACUCGACUCCAUGAAGUUGGAAUCGCUAGUAAUCGCGGAUCAGCACGCCGCGGUGAAUACGUUCCCGGGCCUUGUACACACCGCACUACUA
rnacentral:rRNA from 1 species